rnacentral:rRNA from 1 species
UACGUAGGUGGCAAGCGUUGUCCGGAAUUAUUGGGCGUAAAGCGCGCGCAGAUGGUUUCUUAAGUCUGAUGUGAAAGCCCACGGCUCAACCGUGGAGGGUCAUUGGAAACUGGGGAACUUGAGUGCAGAAGAGGAAAGUGGAAUUCCAAGUGUAGCGGUGAAAUGCGUAGAGAUUUGGAGGAACACCAGUGGCGAAGGCGACUUUCUGGUCUGUAACUGACACUGAGGCGCGAAAGCGUGGGGAGCGAACAGG